GUAGGGUGCGAGCGUUAGUCGGAUUUACUGGGCGUAAAGCGUGCGCAGGCGGCCCGUUAAGACAGGUGUGAAAUCCCUGGGCUCAACCUAGGAAUUGCGCUUGUGACUGGCGGGCUCGAGUACGGUAGAGGGGGGUGGAAUUCCUGGUGUAGCAGUGAAAUGCGUAGAGAUCAGGAGGAACACCGAUGGCGAAGGCAGCCCCCUGGGCCUGUACUGACGCUCAUGCACGAAAGCGUGGGGAGCAAACAGGAUUACAUACCCUGGUAGUCCACGCCCUAAACGAUGGGUACUAGCCGUUUGGUGCGCGAUAGCGCUGAGUGGCGAAGCUAACGCGUGAAGUACCCCGCCUGGGGAGUACGGCCGCAACGUUG
rnacentral:rRNA from 1 species